CUGGCUCAGGAUGAACGCUAGCGACAGGCCUAACACAUGCAAGUCGAGGGGUAACAGGGGAGCUUGCUUCCGCUGACGACCGGCGCACGGGUGAGUAACGCGUAUGCAACCUACCUGUAACAGGGGGAUAGCUCCCUGAAAGGGGAAUUAACACCGCAUAAGACUACGGCAUCACAUGGUGCAGUGGUAAAAUAUUUAUAGGUUACAGAUGGGCAUGCGUGACAUUAGCUAGUUGGCGGGGUAACGGCCCACCAAGGCUACGAUGUCUAGGGGUUCUGAGAGGAAGGUCCCCCACACUGGUACUGAGACACGGACCAGACUCCUACGGGAGGCAGCAGUGAGGAAUAUUGGUCAAUGGGCGCAAGCCUGAACCAGCCAUGUCGCGUGCAGGAAG
rnacentral:rRNA from 1 species